CCCGCUGAACUUAAGCAUAUCAAUAAGCGGAGGAAAAGAAACUAACAAGGAUUCCCCUAGUAACGGCGAGUGAAGAGGGAAGAGCUCAAAUUUAAAAUCUGGCAGCUCUUGGCUGCUCGAAUUGUAAUCUAGAGAAGCGUUUUCCGUGCUGGACUGUGUACAAGUUUCCUGGAUACGGAACAUCAUAGAGGGUGAGAAUCCCGUCCUUGACACAGACUCCCAGCACUUUUGUGAUGCGCUCUCGACGAGUCGAGUUGUUUGGGAUUGCAGCUCAAAAUGGGAGGUAAAUUCCUUUUAAAGCUAAAUAUUGGCGAGAGACCGAUAGCGAACAAGUACCGUGAGGGAAAGAUGAAAAGCACUUUGGAAAGAGAGUUAAACAGUACGUGAAGUUGUUAAAAGGGAAACGCUUGAAGUCAGUCACGUUUGCUUGGACUCAGCCUUACUUCGGUUUGGUGCAUUUCCUUGCAGACGGGCCAGCGUCCAUGUUGUUUGCCGGAAAAGGGGCGAGAAAAUGUGGCUCCUUUGGGAGUGUUAUAGAUUUCGCUCGUAUGCGGGGAAUGAUAUGGAGUGGUACAGCACGCUUCGGUGGUGCUUGUGCUGGCAUAAUGGCUUUAAACGACCCGUCUUGAAACACGG
rnacentral:rRNA from 1 species